CAACUAUUCAAAUACAAUUCAAAUAAGUUCAAAGCUACAAAAAUAAUCGAUUCGGAGAGGCGCACACAACACCAAUAUAAUUAAACCUAUUAGAGCCGUCGUUAACUUCGUAUAUUGAGCAACCAAAUCCAUUAAUCCAAGAGGAGUUAUUUUGGGAUUGGUUAAGAGCUGGAUGGAGCUGGCCUACAGUGCGUUUCGUGAUAGUAGGACAAAGGCCAAGGUUCCGAAACGCACUGUCGUCUUACUGAGGGUGAACUUGUUGAUAAUGAUGGAUUCUGAUACAGUUCAAUGGGGAAUGCCGCAAAAGAAAGAUAAAAUUCAUCUCCCAUUCUUAGCUGCGUUAAGAAAUGAAGCCAAU